CAGGCUUAACACAUGCAAGUCGAGGGGCAUCAGGAAGAAAGCUUGCUUUCUUUGCUGGCGACCGGCGCACGGGUGAGUAACACGUAUCCAACCUGCCCUUUACUCGGGGAUAGCCUUUCGAAAGAAAGAUUAAUACCCGAUAGCAUAAUGAUUCCGCAUGGUUUCAUUAUUAAAGGAUUCCGGUAAAGGAUGGGGAUGCGUUCCAUUAGGUUGUUGGUGAGGUAACGGCCCACCAAGCCUUCGAUGGAUAGGGGUUCUGAGAGGAAGGUCCCCCACAUUGGAACUGAGACACGGUCCAAACUCCUACGGGAGGCAGCAGUGAGGAAUAUUGGUCAAUGGGCGCUAGCCUGAACCAGCCAAGUAGCGUGAAGGAUGAAGGCUCUAUGGGUCGUAAACUUCUUUUAUAUAAGAAUAAAGUGCAGUAUGUAUACUGUUUUGUAUGUAUUAUAUGAAUAAGGAUCGGCUAACUCCGUGCCAGCAGCCGCGGUAAUACGGAGGAUCCGAGCGUUAUCCGGAUUUAUUGGGCUUAAAGGGAGCGUAGGUGGACUGGUAAGUCAGUUGUGAAAGUUUGCGGCUCAACCGUAAAAUUGCAGUUGACACUGUCAGUCUUGAGUACAGUAGAGGUGGGCGGAAUUCGUGGUGUAGCGGUGAAAUGCUUAGAUAUCACGAAGAACUCCGAUUGCGAAGGCAGCUCACUGGACUGCAACUGACACUGAUGCUCGAAAGUGUGGGUAUCAAACAGGAUUAGAUACCCUGGUAGUCCACACAGUAAACGAUGAAUACUCGCUGUUUGCGAUAUACAGUAAGCGGCCAAGCGAAAGCAUUAAGUAUUCCACCUGGGGAGUACGCCGGCAACGGUGAAACUCAAAGGAAUUGACGGGGGCCCGCACAAGCGGAGGAACAUGUGGUUUAAUUCGAUGAUACGCGAGGAACCUUACCCGGGCUUAAAUUGCAGUGGAAUGAUGUGGAAACAUGUCAGUGAGCAAUCACCGCUGUGAAGGUGCUGCAUGGUUGUCGUCAGCUCGUGCCGUGAGGUGUCGGCUUAAGUGCCAUAACGAGCGCAACCCUUAUCUUUAGUUACUAACAGGUUAUGCUGAGGACUCUGGAGAGACUGCCGUCGUAAGAUGUGAGGAAGGUGGGGAUGACGUCAAAUCAGCACGGCCCUUACGUCCGGGGCUACACACGUGUUACAAUGGGGGGUACAGAAGGCAGCUAGCGGGUGACCGUAUGCUAAUCCCAAAAGCCUCUCUCAGUUCGGAUCGAAGUCUGCAACCCGACUUCGUGAAGCUGGAUUCGCUAGUAAUCGCGCAUCAGCCACGGCGCGGUGAAUACGUUCCCGGGCCUUGUACACACCGCCCGUCAAGCCAUGGGAGCCGGGGGUACCUGAAGUACGUAACCGCAAGGAUCGUCCUAGGGUAAAACUGGUGACUGGGGCUAAGUC
rnacentral:rRNA from 1 species